rnacentral:rRNA from 1 species
CGGACGGGUGAGUAACGCGUGGGCAACCUACCUCUAACUGGGGGAUAACACUGGGAAACGAGUGCUAAUACCGCAUAAUAUCAUGACAUCCAAAGGAGCGGUAAGAGAUGGGCCCGCGUCCAAUUAGCUAGUUGGUGAGGUAACGGCCCACCAAGGCGACGAUUGGUGGCCGGACUGAGAGGUUGAUCGGCCACAUUGGGACUGAGACACGGCCCAGACUCCUACGGGAGGUAGCAGUGGGGAAUAUUGCGCAAUGGGGGAAACCCUGACGCAGCAACGCCGCGUGAAGGAUGAAGGUUUUCGGAUUGUAAACUUCUUUGAUGGGGGACGAAUGACGGUACCCCAAAAACAAGCCACGGCUAACUACGUGCCAGCAGCCGCGGUAAUACGUAGGUGGCGAGCGUUGUCCGGAAUUACUGGGUGUAAAGGGCGUGUAGGCGGGAAUGCAAGUCAGAUGUGAAAUGCCGAGGCUUAACUUCGGA